rnacentral:rRNA from 1 species
UGGGGAAUAUUGCACAAUGGGCGCAAGCCUGAUGCAGCCAUGCCGCGUGUGUGAAGAAGGCCUUCGGGUUGUAAAGCACUUUCAGCUGGGAGGAAGGCGAUAAGGUUAAUAACCUUGUCGAUUGACGUUACCCGCAGAAGAAGCACCGGCUAACUCCGUGCCAGCAGCCGCGGUAAUACGGAGGGUGCAAGCGUUAAUCGGAAUUACUGGGCGUAAAGUGCACGCAGGCGGUCUGUCAAGUCGGAUGUGAAAUCCCCGGGCUCAACCUGGGAACUGCAUUCGAAACUGGCAGGCUAGAGUCUUGUAGAGGGGGGUAGAAUUCCAGGUGUAGCGGUGAAAUGCGUAGAGAUCUGGAGGAAUACCGGUGGCGAAGGCGGCCCCCUGGACAAAGACUGACGCUCAGGUGCGAAAGCGUGGGGAGCAAACAGG